rnacentral:rRNA from 1 species
CGGCAAAAGCUCAAAUUUGAAAUCUGGCUCUUUCAGAGUCCGAGUUGUAAUUUGAAGAAGGUAUCUUUGGGCCUGGCUCUUGUCUAUGUUUCUUGGAACAGAACGUCACAGAGAGUGAGAAUCCCGUGCGAUGAGAUGACCCAGGUCCGUGUAAAGUUCCUUCGAC